rnacentral:rRNA from 1 species
UACGGAGGAUCCGAGCGUUAUCCGGAUUUAUUGGGUUUAAAGGGUGCGUAGGCGGCCUGUUAAGUCAGGGGUGAAAGACGGUAGCUCAACUAUCGCAGUGCCCUUGAUACUGAUGGGCUUGAAUAUACUAGGGGUAGGCGGAAUGUGACAAGUAGCGGUGAAAUGCAUAGAUAUGUCACAGAACACCAAUUGCGAAGGCAGCUUACUAUGGUAUAAUUGACGCUGAGGCACGAAAGCGUGGGGAUCAAACAGG